GUUUUCAGAAGAUAAUUUAGAUGAUUUAAGUUACCGCUUUUUGAGUUCUCUUCCUGGCCAGGAUAUCCGCUUUUUAAUCCUCUUCUGACUACGUCUGCGACAGCCCAUCGCACCCCCCCCUCCACUUUGGAUUCUUCCGAUCCGGGCUGUCCAAUGAAAGAGCCCCGGUUCGCCGGAUCCCAUCCGCGGCCUCUGGGCUCCAGUCUUCUGAACUUCAGGACUUCCUGCACUGUGGAAGCCGGGGGCUGUAGGAGACUAUUCCAUAUCUGACCUUCUACAGAGACAUAGGCCUUGAAGCCGGGUAUGAUCGCCUCUUGCUUGGGGACACAGGUUCGAGCCUUAGUCCGGGAAGAUCCCACAUGCCACGGAGCAACUAAGCCCAUGCGCCACAACUACUGAUCCUGCACUGUAGAACCCAUGUGCCACACUACUGAAGGCAUGCGCCUUAGAGCCCGUGCUCCGCAACAAGAGAAGCCACUGCAAUGAGACACCUGCGCACUGCACGGAAGAGUGACCCCACUCGCCCCAACUAGAGAAAGCAUGUGGGCAGCAACGAAGACCCAAUGUAGCCAAAAAAUAAAUAAAUAAAGUUAAAUUAAAAAAAAAAAGCUUGUGUUUCAUUAUUUAUUUUCUGUUUGGAUGAUCAGUCCAUUGAUGAAAGUGGGGUGUUAAAUUCCCCUAGUAUUAUUGUGUUACUGUGGAUUUCCCCUUUUAUGGCUGUUAGCAUUUGCCUUACGUAUUGAAGUGCUCCUAUGUUGGGUGCGUAGAUAUUUACAAUUGUCAUAUCUUCUUCUUGGAUUGAUCCCUUGAUCAUUGUGUAGUGUCCUUCCUUGUGUCUUGUAAUAGUCUUUAUUUUAAAGUCUGUAUUGUCCUAUAUGAGUAUUGCUACUGCAGCUUUCUUUUGAUUUCCAUUUGCAUGAAGUAUCUUUUUCCAUUCCCUUACUUUCGGUCUGUAUGUGUCCCUAGGUUUGAAGUGGGUCUCUUGUAGACAGCGUACAUAUAGGUGUUGUUUUUGUAUCCAUUCAUCUAGUCUGUGUCUUUGGUUGGAUUGUUUAAUCCAUUUACAUUUAAGGGAAUUAUUGAUAUGUAUGUUCCUAUUACCAUUUUCUUAACUGUUUGGGGUUUCUUUUUGUAGGUCUUUUUCUUCUCUUGUGUUUCCUGCCUGGAGAAGUUUCUUUAGCAUUUGUUGUACAGCUGGUUUGGUGGUGCUGAAUUCUCUUAACUUUUGCUUGUCGGUAAAGCUUUUGAUUUCUUCAUCAAAUCUGAAUGAAAUCCUUGCCGGGUUGAGUAAUCUUGGUUGUAGAUUUUUCCCUUUCAGCACUUUAAAUAUAUCCUGUCACUCCCUUCCGACCUGCAGCGUUUCUGCCGAAAAAUCAGCUGAUAACCUUAUCGGGAUUCCCUUGUAUGUCAUUUGUUGCUUUUCCCUUGCUGCUUUUAAUAUUUUUUCUUUGACUUUAAUUUUGGUUAGUUUGAUUAAUAUAUAUCUUGGUGUGUUUCCCCUAGGGUUAUCCUGUAGGGACUCUCUGUGCUUCCUAAACUUGGGUGGCUAUUUCCUUUCCCUUGUUAGGGCCGUUUUUGACUAUAAUGUUUUCAAAUAUUUUCUCAGACCCUUUCUCUUUCUAUUCUUCUGGGACCCCUAUAGUUCGAAAGUUGGUGCAUUAACUGUUUCCCAGAAGUCUCUGAGACAGUCAUUUCUUUUCAUUCUUUUUUCUUUAUUCUGUUCCUCGGCAGUUAUUUCCACCAUUCUGUCCUCCAGCUCACUUAUUCAUUCUUCUGCCUCAGUUAUUCUGCUAUUGAUUACUUCUAGUGUAUUUUUCAUUUCAGUUAUUGUGUUGUUCCUCACCAUUUGUUUGUUCUUUAGUUCUAUGUCCUUGUUAAACAUUUCUUAUAUUUUCUCAAUCCAUGCCUCCAUUCUGUUUCCGAGACUGUGGAUCAUCUUUACCAUCAUCACUCUGAAUUCUUUUUCAGGUAGAUUGCCUAUUUCCUCUUCAUUUAUUUGGUCUAAUAGGUUUUUACCUUGCUCCUUCAUCUGUAACACAUUUCUCUGUCAUCUCGUUUUUGUUGAUGGGCGUGGCUGUGUUCCUGUCUUGCUGGUUGUUUGAUCCGAGGCGUCCAGCACUGGAGCUUGCAGGCAGUUGGGUGGAGCUGGAUCUUGGUGCCGAGAUGAGGACCUCUGAGAGAGCUCACACCAAUUAAUAUUUCCUCGGGCCUGAAGUUCUCUGGUAGUCCAGUGGCUCAGACUCGGUGCUCCCACCACAGGGGCUCAGGCCUGACCCCCGGCCUGGGAACCAAGACCCCACAAGCAACAAGGCAUGGCAAAAAACAAACAAACAAACAGAAAAACCCUAAAAUAGACAAUGCCCAAGGCAAAUAAUAAAAACAAAACCAACCAAACAAAAAAAAGAAAACACAAAACCUGAGACAAAUAACAAAAACAAAUCCAAGCAAACAAAAAGCAAACCAACAACAACAAAACAACAUGGUUAGGAAAAAACAAAACACCCAAACAAACAAGAGGGCCCUCAAACCAUAACCAGUAAUAGAAAUGAAACUAAACAGAAAACAAACAAUAAUACAAAAUAAAAAAACAAACUAAAAGAAAAGCUAAGAGAAAAGACAAACACUAAAAUGACAAAAACAAACAAACAAAAGAUAAAAAAGCAAAAAAAUAACAAAAUGAAAGAAAACAACACAAAAAUAUCAAAAGAACAAACCACCACCACCGAGAAAACAAAAAACAGACAACAAGUGGAAAAGAGCAGAACAAUAACAGAAUAAAAAAUAAAAUAAGAAAAAUAAAAAAUAUAUUAGAAAAAAAUAAAAAUGAAGCAAUGAUAAAACGAAAGAGGAUAGCAACAUAAAAUAAAAUAAAAUUGAAAAAAUGAAAAA